UAAUAUUCAACUAAUCGGUAGGUUUCAAUCUGAUUCUUCUUUUGUUGACCUCACUCAGCAAAGGAGGUGAUGGUGGAGUUGGGUCUCUAUACCCUGUCCAGUCAGGUUGUUCUGGAAUGCACUCAAUAUUCUAAUUUAGAUCAACACUAACACGAGGCCCAACCCGCUGUCGACGUGCUUGACUGAACACCACUCCGAAUAGCUCG
rnacentral:lncRNA from 1 species